UACGGAGGAUUCGAGCGUUAUCCGGAUUUAUUGGGUUUAAAGGGUGCGUAGGCGGUUUUUUAAGUCAGCGGUGAGAUGUUUCUGCUUAACAGAGAAAGCGCCGUUGAUACUGGAAGACUUGAGUGCAGAUGAAGUUGGCGGAAUGUGGCAAGUAGCGGUGAAAUGCAUAGAUAUGCCACAGAACACCGAUAGCGAAGGCAGCUGACUAAGGUGCAACUGACGCUGAGGCACGAAGGUGCGGGGAUCGAACAGGAUUAGAUACCCUGGUAGUCCGCACAGUAAACGAUGAUUACUGGUUGUAUGCGAUAUACAGUAUGCGGCGAAGCGAAAGCGAUAAGUAAUCCACCUGGGGAGUACGCCCGCAAGGGUGAAACUCAAAG
rnacentral:rRNA from 1 species